GUGCUUGUUUGGCGGCAUAUAUACCAAAAUUGGGAUGGUACAGAGAUCAGCAUGGCCCCUGUGCAAGGAUGACACGCAAAUUUAUGAAGCAUUCCAUAUUUUU
rnacentral:snRNA from 1 species